rnacentral:lncRNA from 1 species
UUUUCUUUUUCCCUUCCUGUAUUCCUGUAGUGUGGACAUCUUUUCCUGUCGGUACAUGAGGCUCUAAGGCAUCUUUCUUCCAGUCCUGGGAAAAGGAACAUUUGGCUUGAAGGAUCCUCGGAAGGAGGGACUGCCCCUCAGGUGUGUACAUUCUCACGACCGGCCUGAUCCCUGUGCUGGAGAAAGAACACGACCCCCGAGUGAUAACCGUCUCCUCAGGAGGAAUGUUGGUUCAGAAACUGAACACCAAUGAUCUCCAGUCCGAAAGAACACCAUUUGAUGGAACUAUGGUCUAUGCACAAAACAAGGUCAGUGAGAGGCAGCAAGUGGUUCUGACGGAGCGGUGGGCCCAAGGGCACCCGGCCAUCCAUUUUUCUUCCAUGCAUCCUGGCUGGGCCGACACCCCAG